UAAAAUGCUUACCGACACUCUCUUCCACCGACAGUGUUUAUAUUUAUUUAUUCAUAAAUUGAUUAUUUUUAAUCAGCCGUCCACCUGCUAUAAUCCAUUGCCGACAUUCUUGCCGACACUUAUUCUUUUAAAACUGUCUGUUUCCCUUCAGAAAAUACUCGCACCUCCCAUGAACUAAGCUUCUUCCUUCUGAUCUUCUUAAUUUCCUCCCCCACUGUCUCUUAUUCUUUGCUGUCCCGAUGCAUAUGAGGAAUUGAGAUUGAGAGUAGGAGAGUGAGUUGAGAGAAAGAGAUGAGAUGAGAUGAGAUGAGAUGAGAUGAGAAAUAGAAGCAAGCAAGAGAUUAAGAGUAAGUAGAGAAUUGAGAGAGAAGCAGAAUUUGAGAGAGAAAGAAGGAGUGAAAUGAAGAGAGAAACAGAGGCAGAGAGGGAGAUCCGGCCGAUCCUUCAGUAGAGUCCCGGCCGAUUGUAGCAGACCGAGAGAGAGAAGAUGAGAGACCCGAAGCCGUGAACCCCAAGCAAACCCGAAGAUCCGGCGUGAGCCCAGCCAAAACCCACAACUCAGCACCGAUGGCUGGCGGACGGCGUCACCCAGCAGAGCCCAUCCCAUCCCGGCGUGACCCAGGACCCGAUCGUGGAGCCGUGAACCACGACCCGUCCAACCCAGCCGUGAAACCAUGAACCCAACGAACCCGUGCGUGAUCCAGCCAUGAUCCAUGACCCAGCCGUGAAGACCACCGACCCAGAAGCCCAUUCCAGCUGCGAUUCAGACCAGACCCGUGAACCUCGGCCCAACCCAGACGAUCCAGCUGAACCCGUGAACCCCGGCCCAACCCGUGACCCGUGAGCCCAGUCCAGCAAGCAGUAGCUGAGCCCAGUCCAGCCCAUCCCAGCAAGCAAGCCCAACCCAGUCGGCCCACGAACCAAUUUCAGCCCAGACCCGCUGAGCCUGACCCAGCAGUGAUCCAACCAUGACCUGAACCCGGAGACCCGACCCGCCGGUGACCCGUCUCCGGCAGAGUCUUCCGGCGACUUUUCCGGUAACCUUUCCGGCGACUUCCCGUGACCAAACUCACCGUUUUCACUAGAUUUUCUAGUAAAAUCCUUAAUGUUAAUAGACAAAGACCAGAACUCAAGAGGUUUUAUAGCUAAGGACGCAUAGUUUAUAUUUUGUUUGUAGUCUUCUGUGUUUAUAGCAUUUUAUAUUGACAAAAUUGCUAAUGAUUUAUAUGUAUUCUUUUGUGUCAUUAUGGACACCUGUUUCCUUGUAUUUGUUAUAAGAAUUUUCUAAUGAAUAUCUAGAGGUAUUUAAUUUAAAA